CCAGACUCCUACGGGAGGCAGCAGUGAGGAAUAUUGGUCAAUGGCCGCAGGGCUGAACCAGCCAAGUCGCGUGAGGGAUGACGGUCCUAUGGAUUGUAAACCUCUUUUGUCGGGGAGCAAAGAGGCCACGUGUGGUCAAAAGCGAGAGUACCCGAAGAAAAAGCAUCGGCUAACUCCGUGCCAGCAGCCGCGGUAAUACGGAGGAUGCGAGCGUUAUCCGGAUUUAUUGGGUUUAAAGGGUGCGUAGGCGGGACGGUAAGUCAGCGGUAAAAAUGCGGAGCUCAACUCCGUCGAGCCGUUGAAACUGCCGUUCUUGAGUGAGCGAGAAGUAUGCGGAAUGCGUGGUGUAGCGGUGAAAUGCAUAGAUAUCACGCAGAACUCCGAUUGCGAAGGCAGCAUACCGGCGCUCAACUGACGCUGAAGCACGAAGGCGUGGGUAUCGAACAGGAUUAGAUACCCCAGUAAA
rnacentral:rRNA from 1 species